rnacentral:rRNA from 1 species
UCAAGCGACCAUACCUCAUAGAAAGCGUCGGGCCGAGUUAGUACUUGCAUGGGUGACCGGCUGGGAAUACCCGGUGUUGCUGAC